rnacentral:rRNA from 1 species
AUUGAACGCUGGCGGCAGGCCUAACACAUGCAAGUCGAGCGAGCGGCGGACGGGUGCGUAAUGUCUGGGAAACUGCCUGAUGGCGGGGGCUAACUACUGGAAACGGUAGCUAAUACCGCAUACCAUCAGAUGUGCCCAGAUGGGAUUCGCUGGAAGGUGGGGUAACGGCUCACCUAGGCGACGAUCCCUAGCGGGUCUGAGAGGAUGACCAGCCACACUGGAACUGAGAUACGGUCCAGACUCCUACGGGAGGCAGCAGUGGGGAAUAUUGCACAAGGGGCGCAAGCCUGAUGCAGCCAUGCCGCGUGUGUGAAGAAGGCCUUCGGGUGGUAAAGCACUUGCAGCGGGGAGGCGUUACCCGCAGAAGAAGCACCGGCUAACUCCGUGCCAGCAGCCGCGGUAAUUC